rnacentral:snRNA from 1 species
AGAGUUACAGAGUUUUGGUGUCAGUGUGGAAGAUGAUCUCACUGCUAGGUUUGCUCUACAUAUACACCCAGGGUGAAAUUCAGCUACUGCACUCCGGCUGUGCUGACCCCUGCAAAUUCCCCAAAUGUGGAAACCUUGACUGCAUAAUUUCCAGUUGUGGGGGGGCUGUGUCUGCGCUCUCCCCUG